UACAGAGGGUGCAAGCGUUAAUCGGAGUUACUGGGCGUAAAGGGCGCGUAGGCGGACGCUUAAGUUGGAUGUGAAAGCCCCGGGCUUAACCUGGGAAUUGCAUUCAAUACUGAGCUUCUAGAGUAUGGUAGAGGAAGGCGGAAUUCCCGGUGUAGCGGUGAAAUGCGUAGAGAUCGGGAGGAAGGCCGGUGGCGAAGGCGGCGCUCUGGAACAUAACUGACGCUGAGGCACGAAAGCUAGGGGAGCAAAC
rnacentral:rRNA from 1 species